ensembl:snRNA U6 U6 spliceosomal RNA
AUGCUCACUUUGGCAGCACAGAUGCUAAAAUUCGAACAAUAAAGAGAUUAGCAUGGCCCCUCUGUAAGGGUGACUAGAAACUUAGGGAAGCAUUCCUUUUUAUA